CCAAAGAAGAAGAAGCCCGUCGAAAUGGACGUAUUUGACAGUGUUGCCACAAUUUAUCUCGACUUCGUGAUUUUGCAAAUCGGAGACUUCAGGAGUUCACUGGUCUAUCUAAUGCAAUAGCCAAUCAAGGAGCAACCAGGAUAACUGAAUGAGUCUGGAUAUGAUCUGCAGUUGCAGAUGAACUUAUUGACCAAGUUCUCCUGGAAGCCUUUGACAACAUGGAGGAAAGUUGGGACAGCAUAGAGGAAGCAGGAGACUACAAAACAGAUGCAGCUAGACAUUUACCAAGCUGUUCAUGUCAGCAAAUCACUGAACACAAGGGAACAGGAGUGGGAGAAGAGAUCCUGACUGACAAGACAUAUAAGAGCAUGACAGCAUUUAAGGUGAAGAAUGAUGAAGGCUCUGCUCCUUUUUCGGACAUCCACAGUCAUUCAAAGAUCAUAGCUCAAGAUCUUCAACGAAAGGCGGCAGAGAGGAGGGCAACAAAGGUCACCCACGAUAAGUGUCCUUCUUUCUCAGAAAGAUCAUGCCCCGUGGGCCUAACAAAUGUUCAGGAAAUAUGUAUUUUGUCUUCUGAAUUUGAUGUAAAAAAGAUCAGAGUGAGAGAUUCUGCUGCAGUGGAGGUUGGCACUAUAGUUUCUUUCCCCCCCUCUUCAAGCAGUCUGUCAAAAAACAUAAAAGGAAAUGUCACACUUUCACCCACAGAGAAGAUUGCUGUGACUCAAGGGCUAUCAGCCUCUUCUCUAAGUGACCACGCACGAUAUUCAAGAGAGGUAGUGGAUGAGAAGACCUAUGCUGAUGUUUCCCAUCAAACGUUACCACUUGCAGAUACCAAGAAAAGAAAAGAGAAAAUGUCCUUUAAUACCCGUUUGCCUGUGAUUGAAAAGCAACAAAAGCGAAAAGCUGGUCGGCCAUAUAAGAAGAAAACUCUAGUGAAAAUGGCUAAACUUUUAGCAAUUGGCCAAGAACGCUAUUCCGAUGCCACAGAAAUACACGGGGUGACUCACCAUAAGGACACUCUAACACCCUCACGCAAACAAACAAAAGAGAAGAAAAAGGAUGAAAUGUUUCCCCCAACUACCUCAAGUGACACAUGGUUUGGAUGCAAUUCAACAUCUGAUUCUUCAAACCACCUUACUAUUGCACAUUCAGAUGACAUCAUUUCUGCACCUCAAAUAGCUGGGCCAAGUAUUUCUAUGGAAUUGAACCAACCCUCCAGGAUACAGAAAACUUCAAAGACCACACAAAAAGAAGAAUUCAAAAUAACAGAAGUGUCUGCGCUGAAAUUGACCACUGUCACAAAGGGUCAAUAUUCUCCUAUAGAACGAGCUCUGACACACAACACCUUGGUGCCAUCUGAGAAUGCAUUGAAAGUACAAAAGAGAACUGGAAGAAAUAAAACGAUGCUAUCCAAAGGAGGAAAUAGAAGAACUCAGGCAUUCAAAAGAAACAGAAUGAAUCCGAGCAGCCCCCAGUCACAGAGUUGCAAUGCAACACCCCAAGAAAAAAAUUGUUUGGGACUCUCUCAAGAUGAGACUCCACUGCAGUCAUCAGAUAUAAAAAUGGAGCCCAAAUACUUGUCAGACACUUCUGUCUUGGAUGUAACGAACAAUGUGAAGGAACACCAAAAAAGAGAACCUCCCUCCAAAAACUUUACAGAAGGGAGUAUUAAAAGUCCUGGUAUAAUGUCAGACAAGUCAAAGCAUUUUAUCACUCAAAAAGAUCAGGGGGCACAAAGUGACAUGAAGAGGGAAAUCAAAGAUAAUGUAACUGCUAACAUAUCAGCUGUAGGAAACCAGGGGGAAAUGACUCCAAGAACUCAAGAGCGCUCAAGACUAAAGAGUAUUGAGGAUGUGCUCAAAUUGAAGCGGAAAGCUGGUCGACCAUUCAAGAAAAAUAGGUUGUUUAAAAUGGAUAAGCUGGUAGCGAUAGCACAGGAUGGCAGAACUAAUGAUCCAGAGAAUAGUGGCAUGACGAAAGAGUGUGUUCCAACAUUCCCUGCAUAUCACCCCCUAAAGUCAAAAGUAAAGAAGGAAAAGACUGACACAAAAACCUUGGCAUCAAAUUCACCUACAAGCCCCUCAAGAAGAUCCAACAGAACAUGUAAAACUACCCCAAAAACUGUUCAAAAGAUGCAAGUCCUCACACACACGCUCGCCCAAUCAGUUUUAUCAGUUCCAUCCAAUCUCAUUGAACUCAAAUCAGAGGACACUACUCUGAUCUCCUCAACGGUCUCUCCAAUUAUUUUAUGUAGUGCAGAUAUUUUACCUCAACAGGAAAGCCACAAAUGUGGAAAACCCCCGAAGAAAAACACAAAAGUUAACAAACACAUGACCACUGCAGUCCCACAUCCUCCAAUAUUUGCAGUAGUUUCCAAGGCCCUUGCUGAGAUUGUCUCUACAGGGAAUGGUAAAGAAGCAAAGAAAGACAUUGGAUCCAAAAGAAAAUACAAACGGGUGCCUGGAACUCGUGGUGUAUCAGAAUUGCUGUGUACAAAUGGAAUUCCUCAGGGAGAUAUACAUACCCAAACUAAUAGGGAUGAGGUGUAUUCCAAGACUUCAGGCCCAACUGUGCCACAAUCCCAGAACACACGGAAGCGUGAGGUUAAAAAUAAAAAAGGUACAGAAAAGGCAGCUGUCCCAUUAUCUGAUGAAACUGUCCUUCCUGAUUCAGAUUGCCAGGUGCAAAGUCACAGUGCAUCUCAGGAAACGCCUUUGCUGCCAUCAAAGAUUAAGACACAAUCUGACACAUUAUACCUGACACCUAGAACGAUUAGGAAGAAAAAUCCCAAAACGUGUAAGGAAAUAAAAAAAACUUCACCGAAAGUUGAGAAAGCACAGGUGCCAUCUCUGGAUCCUUCCCUUGGAGUGGAACAUAGAUGUCAUGAUGUGCCACAUGUGGAUCAAAUGAAACAAGUGGAAGCAGUGAUAGAGUCAGUAAUUGAGGAUCUCCACAAACCACUGAAACAUGUGAGUCAUAGACAAAAGAUCAAAGAAAAGGCUAGCAAUGUUCUUGCAUUAACUCUGAAUCCUUCACUUGGAGUGGAACAUAGAACUCCUGAUGUGCCACAAGUGGAUCAUAUAAGACAAAUGGAAGCAGUGAUAGAGUCCGUGAUGGAGGAUCUCCACAAAAAAGACGCCAGUAGUGUUGCUCCGUUAAAACCAACCACCUUUUCUGCCUCGGAUAACCUGUUGGAACAGCAUAACCAUAGUACAUUACCUCAAUCUUCUUUUAUGUCAUCCGGAGAGACAAAAUCAGGCUUGAAACAUGCAAUACCCAAAACGUCAACAAAAAACAAGUCAAAAACAUUAAUGAAAGACAAACUUACCUGCAAAAGCUAUUCAAAAAAUCCUAAGAAAGCAGCUAUGCAAACUUCAGUUCCUACAUCUGACACAAUGCAUGCGUCAACAGUUAAGAAGAAUUCCAAUAUUUGUAAAGAAAGAAAAAGAUCUUCACAAAAAGCUGAAAAAGCACAGGUGUCAUCUCUGGAUCCUUCCCUUGAAGUGGAACAUAAAAGUCCUGAAAUGGAUCAAUGGAGAGAAGAGGAAGCAUUGAUUGACUCAGUGAAUGAGAAUCUCCACAAACUGCUUAAACAUAAGGAUCGACAAAAAAAGUUACAAGAAGAGGCCAGCAAUGUUUCUACAUCAACUCUGGAUCCAUCUCUUGUAGUGGAACAUAGAUGUCCUGAUCGAAUAAGACAAGUGGAAGCAGUGAUAGACUCCCUGAUUGAGGAUCUCCACAAACCACUCAAACCUAAUGGACAACAAAAACAGUUUAAAGGAGAGACCAGUAAUAUUUCUGCAUUGGAACAAACAGCAUUUCUCGCCUCGGAUAACCUGUUGGAACAGAAUAACCAUUGUAUGUUACCUCAAUAUUAUUUUCUGACAAAAUCAGGCUUGAAGCAUGCCAAACCCAAAAUGUCAACAAAAAUUAAGUCAAAAGCAUGCAGUAAAGGGAAACUAUUUAAAAAUGCUAAGAAAGCUGCUGUAAUAACUUCAGAUCCUUCUAUUGGAGCAGAAAAUGGAUGUCUUGAAAUACCUUCCCACUUUACCCAAGCAGAGAAAGGAGGAAAGGGAGAUGUAAAAACCAAUAAAUAUGUAGGAAAGCAUGAAAAGGAAGAAGUGAUAUCAGUGACCGGUGAUCAUUUGGAAACAGCGGCCCACAAACCACAUCAACGUAAGGGGCCAAGAAAGAAGCUAAAAGAAGAGGACAGCAGUGUUUCCAAACCAGAACAAGUAGAAUCUACUACUUCAGAUAGCCAGCUAAAACAGCAUGGCCACAAUGAUUCACAACAAGUUUCUUUGCUAGUAUCGGCGGCAAAGACAGAAUCAGGAAUAGAGCAUAUCAUGCCAGAAAUGGAAAUGACAAAUAAGCCAAAAACAUGCAGAAAAAGGAAAAUACUGUCCAAGCAAAGCUCAAAGAUCACUGAAACUCCAACCCCACCAAGUUCAAAACCAUCUCUUGGAGUGGAAUAUAGAUAUUCUGUAAUGGCUACCCCUUUCACACAUGUGGACCAGGUUCAGAAUAUUCUUGAUACUCCUAAAGGCUCCAAAGCGAGUAAUGGAAAUACUGGAUCAAACCAUCCAAUAUCCAAUGUCAGACAUUCCAGACGGCCCUCUAAAUCGAAUUCACAUAUCACAACUGACUUGAUGCAAGAUCAAGCCAUUUUAUCAGUUACAUCACAUCUCACUAAUCAACCUACCAGUCCUGUAUCAACAACCGUGUCCUCAACUGCAGCACAAGGACAGCUUACUGAAUUAGUGAGUUCUCUUUGUACAGAUAAAAGGCCGCAUAAAAUAGGGAGGCCUCCAAAGAAGAAAAAGUCUCAGAGACCAAAAAGAACCGGUAUUGAUAAGAAUAUCACAGAUGAUGACAAAGUGUGUGUUAAAUUCUUAUCAGCAUUUGUAAAAGAGGAACUAAUUGAGGAAGAGAAAAGUCUAGAAAAUAGGGGAAAAGAAAAGAACGGCAAAGGGAAGAAAGGCAAAAUUCUCCAAACAGACAAUGUGAAGGUGAAAGAUGGCAAUGCAUUAGCAGAUGACAAAUUAGUUUUACAAGUCCCUAUAGAUGAAGCAGGGGACUCUAUAUCUAUUGCAAUAGACCCAAUCAGUGCUGUAAUUCCCAAACAUAAAAAAGGUGGUCGUAUUGCCAAGGGUAAAAGAGUGCAAAAAAUUGCAUCCACCCCCAACAUCCCCAGUGACCAGCAAUGCAUGAAUAUGUCCCCAGAAGAAAUGUCUCUGUGUCUCAGCAAUAUAUCAGAAAAACACAGAAAACGAAAAGUUGACAGCAGCAGUGCUGAUUUUGUUAAUGCAGAUAUAAAUGUUCUAAAUCUUAAAGAUGAUCUUAGUGAUAGAUCUGAAAUACCGGACUCAUCCUUACUAGGGACUCCGAGGGUGAAGAACAAGGGUAAGAUCAAAUCCAAGACAAUUACAGAAGAAAAGACAGUGGCCACAUCAGUGGUAAAAGAGAUGGUGUGGCUAGAUUUACAGACCAACAUAGCAGCACUGAAAAAGAAACGUGGUCGGCCAUUCAAGAAAAGUACCUUGAUGAGAAUGGCAAAACAGUGGUCAUGUGAACAGCAGAAGUCAAACACUAGCAGAAAACUUUCAGUGAACAAGACGCAGAGCUGCAAAUCAAUGGGAACUUCUAAGGGAGGGAAAAUGCACAAAUUCAACCCAAUGUCAACAACUUCAAGAAGGCACACUAGAGCAUCUGUGGCAAUGAAGAAUGAAGACCUUGUUCUUAAACAACAGCAAGACGACAUAUGGGAGAUCACUGAUGUGUCCAGCAACAUUUUCUUCCCAAUUGUGACUAAUUCCCACAGUAUUUCAGUGCAAGAAAUCGAAACUUCGGGAACUAUUUUCUCUGUUGAUGCAGGGGCGACACAAGGAAUCCAGCAAGUUGAGUCUACCCCAUUAACAACCCCUCUCACAAAAUUACCUCAUAAAGUGACUGCCGUGAAGAAGAGACGCAGGAGAAAUAAAACUGGAUGGGCUACAAAAGUGAAAUCCAAACGACCUCUCUCCAAAGUGAACUGCGGGGGUACGCUUGAGGUGUUUGUUCAGUCUUCCAUUGACAACACUGGACUCUCAUUCAACUCUAGCCUCUGUAAUUCGUUAACAGAAAAUGACACAUUGGAAAGUGUUGAACAAGAGAAAGAAUGUAGAACGAACUACAAUCGAGUUUGUGCGGAGAAGGAGAUCAACUGUGGCGAUCAACCCCUAAUAGCUUGUGCUAAAUUGCAGCAUUCAAGUGUACUCCUACACAAUCUUAAGACAAGGAAACCUAUGUCAUGUCAUUUCUGCAGUCGCUCAUUCCGUCACAUAACCGCAUACACAAUUCACAAGCGCAUUCACACAGGUGAGAAGCCUUACAGUUGCCAAAAGUGCGGCAAGAGCUUUGCUCAUCUCUCCAAACUCAAAUCACACUCAAACAUCCACAAACAACAUGGGCCCAUUCAAUGCCCAUGUUGCAUCACUCAGUCUCCAAAUAAAGAUGACUUGAUUGAUCAUUUCAAGAUCCACAUGAAGGGUACCAAGAGGUUCAGUUUGAUUAAUAAAACAAGAAGAGACAAAGAAAUCCAGAUCCACCCUUACACUGAUUACAUAGAGUCCCCAGUCACUCUUAAUGGCAGGAAAUUCCUUCGAUGCUCCACUUGUUUUAAAUAUUUUUUCAGUAAGGCCACAUUGAAGCUGCACCUACAAACACACAGUGGAGUGAGGCGUUUCACCUGCAAAGUCUGUGGCAAGAUGUUUAUCACGUUCUCAAGUUUCAAUGCACAUGAAAAAACACACUGGCCUGUUAAACCGUAUGCUUGCUCUGUGUGUGGAAAAGGCUUUGUUCUGCUUAGGGAGCUCAAAACCCACUCCCAUAUGCACUCAGGAGAGAUGCCUUUCUUCUGUAACCACUGUGGUCAGGCCUUUAGCGACUUCUCAUCCUUGCGCACACAUCAAGUCUCCAAAGUGUGUUUUGAGGCGAGAGACGAAGGGGAUGGAAACAAGGUUGACAUUGAGGGGUUCCUGGUGGAGCAAAGGGCUGAUGGGCAGAUUAAUACCCCAAUGUACUUUAAAUGUCAGAUUUGCAAACAACUUAAUCGUCACUGGUGUCAGUACGUUCUUCAUCUGCAAACACACACUAAUAACAAGCCAAACCUUUGUGAGAUCUGUGGACAACGGUACGAGGUUCCUGAAUUAUGUGUUCAUUGUAGAGUGUGCUGCAAAUCAAGUGGAGAGGAGAGGGCAUGCAAUUCGUCCUUGUCAGAGGUCUGGCAUGAACCCCAAUCUCUGCAACAUCCGAUGCAUGUGACUGAAAUAGAUUUUCUGUACAAUGCUAAUCAGGAAAUGUUAUCUACUGAUGACCAACAUCCUAAAUGCAAGGAGCCUGAGCCCCUGCCACCUCUGGAAACUAUGGAGGAGUAUUCCUCAGAUGUGCUUCCACAAAACCCCAAACCUGCUUGCCAGAUCCCAGGUAAUGGGUUAGCGAUAAAUCGACCUUCUCCCUCAAACUCCAUGUGUGCAAGUUCUGCCAUAUUGGCCCCCUCUGUAAUGAGCUGUAAUUCAGUAUGUGUGGUUCAACAGCCUUCAGGUUUUCACUCUCGUUUUCAGACCCAUGCUCCUUGUGACAGAUAUCCCCGUGGACAAUGUGGAAAAUCCUUUAACCGGUGGAAUAAGCUCUGGUUGCAUCAGGGACGACACAGAGAAAAACGCUGUAGCUUCUCAUGCACUCAGUGCAAUUUAGAGUUUCGCUUCUUAGGCUCCUAUAGGGAGCACAUGCAGGGACAUGCAGCGCAGAGACCCUAUGUUUGUCCGUUAUGUCCCAAAAACUAUAUCACGGAAGAAGACUUAAAUACCCAUCUGUGCGAAAAUCACCAGCCGUGUGAAAGCCUGAAAUGUGACACGUGUGAAAAGGGUUUCAUCAGUUUCAGAAAUUUGGAGAGACAUCGUCUGUUACACAGAGCUGCUAGCUCGCACUAUUGUCUCCCUUGCAAGCUCCCAUUUCCUAGUUACCUAGCCUUAAAGAAUCACUUGAAGGCUCACAAAGCCCGCCCUGUUAUCCCUGUCCCUGAAGGGCCAUUGGAACCACUUCGGUUUCCCUAUCACUGUAGAAAAUGUAAUGCCAGAUUUACAACCACAGACUUGCUCCAAGCCCAUCAGGUUUGCCAUCUUAUAGGGGGGAAGAAAACAUAUAGCAGUUCAGCAAAUGUAGUUUCUGCUUCCCUGACCUCCAAGCUCUCAAACAGACCAAGAGCGAGAGUCACCCCUCUAUCCCCUACGACAGUACCUAGUCUUCUUCUGCCAAAGAAAAGGAACAUGUAUAGGUAUCCUCACCCUGAUCGUCUCUAUGUCGUCCCUAAAAUAUCCUCACAGCCACCGGUCAUUGUUUCGGACACAGAAGAAGAGCCCCAAGAGAUUCUAAACUUUAGCUUAUCCUCAGUCCACGACUCGCCCUGUAACACUGUGUCCCUUGAACAUGAAGGGCGAACCAGCCCUAGCAAUAAUUGUUGUGAGGCAAACAACUCGGAUCUACCUCAGUGCUCAUGCCCCUCAUGUGUCCUUAUUUAUGAACCUACUCAAUGUAUGCCAAAAACAGACACCCCACACAUGCCGACUCAUGAACCACCAUGUCCCUUGGAUAAAGGUCAUCAGAAUGUACCACCUCAAAGAUGGAAAAAGUCUAUGGGUAAUGAUGAUGCUUUCUUUAGAGCCUCAACAACAUUUGUGAUAUCAAGGGGCAAAAAACAGCAGAUUGGCUUUGAGUGUGCUGAUUGUUGGGUAAGAUUUAGUGACGUCUCAGAGCUACAUGAGCAUUACUUACAUCAUGCCAGGGGGGUGAAGUGAAAAUCAAUGUAUUUUUUUCCACUAAUGGACAUUUGCAUCGGAAAGUAUUCAGACCGAUUUACUUUUUCCAAAUGUUGUUAUGUUACAGCCUUAUUCUAAAAUGUAUUUUUGCAAAUGUAUAAAAAAAUAUAUGAAAUAUCACAUUUACAAGUAUUCAGAUCUUUUACUCAGUACUUUGUUGAAGCACCUUUGGCAGUGAUUACAGCCUGGAGUCUUCUUGGGUAUGACGCUACAAGCUUAGCACACCUGUAUUUGGGGAGUUCCUCCCAUUUUUCUUUGCAGAUCCUCUCAUACUCUGUCAGGUUGGAUGAGGAGUGUCGCUGCUCAGCUAUUUUCAGGUCUCUCCAGAGAUGUUCUAUCGGGUUCAAGUCUGGGCUCUGGCUGGGUCACUCAAGGAUAUUCAGAGACUUGUCCCAAAGCCACUCCUGUGUUGUCUUUGCUGUGUGCUUUGGGCCAUCCUGUUGGGGUGAAGGUUCUUCCAAUAUAAGGUCCUGAGCGUUCUGGAUCAAGUUUUCAUCCGAUCAUCUUUCCCUUGAUCCUGACUAGUCUCCCAGUCCCUUCUGCUGAAAAACAUCCCCACAGCAUGAUGCUGCCACCACCAUGCUUCACCAUAUGGAUGGUGCCAGAUUUCCUCCAGAUGUGAUUCUUGUCAUUCAGGCCAAAGAGUUCAAUCAUGGUUUCAUCAGACAAGAGAAGCUUGAUUCUCAUGGUCUGAGUCCUUUAGGUGCCUUUUGGCAAACUCCAAAUGGGCUGUCAUGUGCCUUUUAGUGAGGAGUGACUUCCGUCUGGCCACUCUACCAUAAAGGCCUGAUUGGUGGAGUGCUGCAGAGAUGUUUGUUCUUCUGGAAGGUUCUCCCAUCCCACAGAGGAACUCUUGAGCUCUGUCAGAGUGACCAUCGGGUUCUUGGUCACCUCCCUGACCAAGGCCCUUCUCCCCCGAUUUCUCAGUUUGGCCAGGUGGCCAGCUCUAGGAAAAGUCUUGGUGGUUCCAAACUUCUUCCAUUUAAGAAUGAUGGAGGCCACUGUGUUCUUCGGGACCUUCAAUGCUGCAUAAAUUUUUUGGUGUCCUUUCCCAGAUCUGUGCCUCGACACAGUCCUGUCUCAGAGCUCUACGGACAAUUUCUUUGACCUCGUGGCUUGGUUUUCCCUCGUACACGCAUUGUCAACUGUGGGACCUAAUAUAGACAGAUGUGUGCCUUUCCAAAUCAUGUCCAAUCAAUUGAAUUUACUACAGGUGGACUCCAAGUUGUAGAAAGAUCUCAAAGAUGAGCAAUUGAAACAGAAUGCACCUGAGCUCAAUUUUGAGUCUCAUAGCAAAGGGUCUGAAUGCUUGUGAAAAUAUUGCUGUUUUUUUAUAACAUUUGCAAACAUUUCUAAAAACCUGUUUCGCUUUGUCAUUAUGGGGUAUUGUGUGUACAUUGAUGAGGAAAAUGUUUUGUUUAAUCCAUUUUAAAAUAAAUGUGGAAAAAGUCAAGGACUGAAUACUUUCCGACUGGACUGUAUAUCAUUGUUUUUGAUGAGUACUAAAUAAGUUUCAGAGUUAACCAUGGUUGUCUUCAUAGCUAUAGCAAUGGUUAAAUUAAUAAUUCACUCCAAACCACUAAUUCCUAUGAUUUUCAUUGUUAAAUAACCCCAAUAUGUAUGUUCGUCGUUAUGUUAAGGUAGGAAGCAACUUGAAAAUUGUUGCAGACAUUUUUUGGAGCUAAAGUCAACUACACUUCUCUCCAGACAGGAGGGCUGGCUAGCUUGCUAGAAAACAUAACCAUACACAAUAUUACUAAAGUCAAUAUCAGCAUGUGAAGUAGCUAGUUAGCUGUAAAAUCUCAAACACUGCACUAUCAAUUUUAGAGUUACAAUCUCACCAUGUUCAACCUGGUAGAGAUUUUGUCUUGCUCAAAACAGUGAGUGAGGUUGUGAAUGCAACACAAUGGACCUGUGCUGCUAAGGUCCAUUGGUACGUAGUUGGAGGAAAGGAUAUUGAUCUGACGGUGCACUGUGUACUUGAACGCAAGUCUAAGAAGUGGUAGAUAUCCUAGUGUUUACCUGUGGCGGCAGGUAGCCUAAUAGUUAGAGCGUUGGGCCAGUAACUGAAAGGUUGCUGGAUCAAAUCACUGAGCUGACAAGAUCAAGGCAGUUAACCCACUGUUCCCCGGUAGGCCGUCAUUGUAAAUAAGAAUUUGUUCUUAACUGACUUGACUAGUUAAAUAAAGUAAAAAAUAAAUAAAGAUAUGUUCUAUGUGCAGAAUUUCUAUACUUCACGUUCUAUUUUUGGUCUUUUACUUCUUUUUUUUUACACCAGCUUCAAACAGCUGAAAAUACAAUACCUUUUUGUUACUAAAAAGCGGUUUGGAUGGUACAAUUUUCUACACUUGCUUGUUUUGUCACAAACUUCAAUUAUGCAAAAUCUAAAACAAAUUUCAACCAGGAAAUGGCAAAGCAAUUUCUGCAUAUUGGAUAUUUUUAAAGGCGUUAUGAAAUAUGAUAGUCUUUUUGGAAAUAGGGAUUAACAAACCAUCACCAAAUUGACAGGAGUUUCACUCCUGGAGUGGAUUAUCCAUUUAACGUUAACCUUUGUUUAUUUUUAUUUUUUAUAUAUUCAUAUUCACACUGAUUGUACAAAACAUUAAGAACACCUUCCUAAUAUUGAAUUGCCCCCCCCCCCCCCCACCUGUGAAAAACACCCAGCAGCUCCUAGCACCUACUACCAUACCCUGUUCAGUAACCUGUUCAAAGGCACUUCAAUCUUUUGUCUUGCCCAUUCACCGUCUGAAUGGAACACAUACACAAUCCAUGUCUCAAUUGUAUCAAGGCUUAACAUUUCUUCUUUAACCUGUCUCUUUCCCUUCAUUUACACUGACUGAAAUGGUUUUAACAAGUGACAUCAAUAAGGGAUCAUAGCUUUCAACUGGUCAGUCUGUCAUGGAAAGAGCAGGUGUUCUUAAUGCUUUGUACACUACUGCAAGAAUGUGCCUUUUGAAUUGAUUACAAACUUGUCAUACUUUAAACAAUUAUUCAUAUCCAGUGGUGGAAAAAGUACCCAAUUGUCAUACUUGAGUAAAAUGAUAGAUACCUUAAUAGAAAGUUACUCAAGUGAAAGUCACCCAGGAAAAUACUACUUGAGUAAAAUUAUUUGGUUCUAAAUACACUUAAGUAUCAAAAGUAAAAGUGUACAUCAUUUCAAAUUCCUUAUAUUAAGCAAAGCAGACUGUACCAUUUUCUUGUUUUAAAAAUGUAGGAGAGCCAGGGGUACUCUCCAACACUGACAUUAUUUACAAACGAUGCAUUUGUGUUAGUUAGCUUGCCAGAUCAGAGGCAGAGGGAUGACCACGUGUUCUCUUGAUAAGUGUGUGAAUUGGACCAUUUUCCUGUCCUGUUAAGCAUUCAAAAUGUGAUUAGUACUUUUGGGUAUCAGGGAAAAUGUAUGGAGUAAAAAGUAAAUGAUCAUCUUUAGGAACGUAGUAGUAAGUAAAAGUUGUCAAAUAUAAAUCGUAAAGUACAGACCCCAUAAAAAUACUUUAAAGUACUACUUAAGUACUUUACACCACUGUUCAAAUCUGUCCUGCUGCUGUUGGCAAAGUUUUCUUUGUUCUAUUUUUGUAAGAGCUUUAUGUACACAGACACCAUGAGUGUCUCUCUUUUUAUUAUGUUUAACAUGGGAUAUAUUGCACAUUUGAUAACGCACACUAAUUGCAUCCUUUGGGGAAACUGUUAGAUCUGCUUUCCAAACAGUCAAUAGUCUGGUAAUGAUGAUUACUUAAACAUCUUUGAUUUUUGGAAGGUUGUUUGGCACGUUAUAGAAAAUCAGUCAUUUUUAAAUGUCAGAGAUUUCAUUGGACAUUCAGUAAGUAUUACUCAUUGAAUAUUUAGGCACUGUGUGCACGUACAACAUGAGUAUGAAAAUGUUUGAAAUGUAAUUGUAACACAAAGAUGUGAUAAAAUAUUAGUUAUUGAUUCUGUGCUGGUAAGUUUUCAUUCUUUAGUCACUGUCUCAUUAUCAAUGCAAAAUGUGUUUUGCUUUUUACUUUUGAUUUACAGUAGUCUGACAAUAAAAGUUGACAUUACA